AAACAAGCUAUAGAAACUGCAUCAUCCCAAAAUUGUUUAGGGACCUUCAUUUGAAAAAAGAAUGCCUGUGCUACCUUAAGAAGACGUCUAUUUUUUCUUUCCGCAACCCCAUUCUAGGAUGGAGUAUCAACACAAGAUGUUUGAUGAAGAAUGCCCUUUUGUGACAUAUAGGCUUGAAAAUUGCCAGAAAUAUAUUCCUUAGCAUUAUCGCUUCUCAAUAUACACACAGGGGUAUUAAAUUGAGUUUGAAUCUUAACAUAAAAAAUAGAAAAUAAUUUUGAACGAUUCUUUAUUAAAAAUAACCAAGUAACAUGGGAAUAAUCAUUAACAAAUGUAACAAAAUACUUGAAUCCCGAGUUUGAAAUAACAGGGCAUAGACUCCAUAAAUCGGAAUGAACUAACUUGUUAUGGAAAGUCAAUCAC
rnacentral:misc_RNA from 1 species